rnacentral:ncRNA from 1 species
CAGGAAACUGGUUAAUCGUUUUCCUUGGUAGUAUAGCGGAAACCAUAAAUAAGAAGAACUCUAAGUGCUUGAGUAGAGUUAAAAUAAUUAGACAGGCAAUAUUACA